CUUCGUUCGGUAGGGAAAUCUGGCAGAAAAAAGUCUUUUUUUCUACUCAGUCGUCUUUUUACCCGCAGGUGUCGAGGUAUAUUAAGCGAUAAUUGUAAUUGCUGGUUCUACAGGCAACGUUCCAACAUCAAUGUUAGUGACAUAGAUGUAAAUGAGACAUUGUUUUAUAUUUAUCGUUCAUUUAACGACGAUUUAUCAGUAGCCCCAGACUAUGUAGCGUCCAAUAAGAGGAUAUAGUGAAUUGGAAAGGAUGUGGAAUGAAGCGUUCGUGGUCUAAUUUAAGGUAUCAUGGCAGGUCACAUAUGAGCAAGUGGAUGAGGUGAGGAGUACAAAUAAGAGACUUGAUCAUGCACUUUGGAAUGCAGACAGAUCAAUACUUAUUAAUUCAUGUAUUAUCUUUGAACAGAAAUGACCACACCAGACAUGGAUUGCACCUUACUUCAGAGAGUAAGGAGAAGUUUGUGCAACUCAUUUUCAAUUAUAUUAAGUGCAAAAUAAAUACUGAUAAGGUACCUGCAAUCAUUGGUGUAAGAUCUAGGAUUCUUUUAGGUUAAGGCCAAAUCUGUCACUAAAUACCUGAAAGAUAUCCACAUCAAUGCCAAGUCAGUUCUAAAUUCAGGAUACAUGCACACCCCCAUGUUCUGUGUUUAACCAACAGAUCUUACAGGUCUAUCUUGAAAAUUGUACUUCAGGAGCUAGUUUCUGUAAAGAACAUAUGGCAAAAGGUGAGUAUUUCUGUUAGAAAGAAUCUGAAAUUUAAUCAGCUAAAUGUGCUGUGACACUGCAAAGAACAAGACAUAGAAUGCUUUGUUAUGCAGUUGGAAUCUAAACUCUUCAACAUACAUGUCCUAGCUAUAUACAGAGCUCUCAGGUGAUUUCAAACUUUUCUUAAACAAGUCAGAGAGCGUUUUAAAUUAUUUUUAUAAACCUACAGCAGAAUUUGUCAUUUGUGAUAACAUUAAUGUCAUUUGUGAUAACAUUAAUGUCACCCUUGUUUGACUAGAGGUUAGCAUGCUCACCACUGAACCCAAGGUUUGCGGGUUCAAACCUGGCCGAGGUUGAUGGAUUUUUAACUAACUCCCUGGUAGCAGAACCCUCACGACAGCAAAGCCAGCCACCUUCCACGAGCCAACUCCAUUUGCCAUCCUCACAGCCUACCUCCCUAACAUCCAUCUUGAUGUUAUCCUUCUUUCUCCUUCUCGAUCUUCCCAGUGGUGGUGUUCCAAAAGGAUUCCCAACACUUGAAAUCUGCAUUCUUCCUUCAAAGUAAGAGAUCAUGUUUCACAACCAUACAAAACCACCAGCAAAAUUAUUGUUUUGUAUAUCCUGAUCUUCAGUGUUUUGGAUAGUAAACAGGAUGAUAACUGUUUUUGAAUGGAAUAAAAAAGCUUUCCCUGAAUGUAUCCUCUUAAUUUCGUCAAAAGAUGUGUUACAAUUAAGUACCGCCUUUGUUGCUGAUGUUGAUUCUGUAUUACACCCAUGUAUUUAGUUUUGUCUACAUUUACUUCUAGGCCUGUUUCCUUGCUAGUUUGUAGGAAAGUUUCUGCAUUCUUGGUUAUGGUACCCACAUCAUCCCUCAGCAAAUUGACAUCAUCAGCAUAGGCAAGUACCUGGUGCACACCAUUCAAUUCAAGCCCUUCCUGAUUCCCUCUGACCUUCCUGAUGACAUUGUCUAGAGCAAAAUUAAAAAGCACUGAGGAUGAAGCAUCCCCAUUUGAGGCCAUUUUGCACUGGGAAAGGAUCCAGCAGAAGGUUACCUAUAUGAACUCUACUAGAUUCCCCAUCCAUGCACACCUUAAUUAACCUAACAAGUUUCUUUGGUAUUCCAAACAAAAUCAAAAUGCCUUACAAGGGUGACCAAAAUCUGUAGCACAACUUCCUUAGGCGUGGAAGUAAAGCCGGCGGUCCCACAUCAUAGAUUUACAGCAUGUAAAAGAACCUAAUAAGAUGUUUUGUAAGCAAAAUUCAGCAGCUAUUUCUCCUAUCCUGAUUCUCUACUAGAUGGCUCUAACAGACAAAAUCAGGUGGAGAGGCGACAUACUUCUGUAUCAUUGUACUCUUUGAAAUAUAUGAAGGCACUGGUUGCCAGCAUCACUUCACACAUCAGACAUGCCUCGUCUUCAUCACAGUUAACACCAGAAAGCAGUUUUCUGGCAGUGAAAUCACUUCCAUAAUACUGAGAACAUUUUCACAUGCAUCCAUAUUCUGUUGUACUUGCCCCACAACAUAUCUGCAAAUAUAUCAUCUUAGGUGGCCCUACCAUGAUUUAUGGAUAGACCUGUUGGAGAAGCACAAGAUUCCCUAAAUGAAGUGUCACAUAGACCUGUAGAAGGAAAGCAACUGACAGUGCUGCUCUUCAGAACAUCUACAAACUGCUUCACAUAUGAAUUAUUAUUAUUUGAGCUAUAAUCUAAACAAAUAGAAGCAAAAAUGUUUUCAAGGGGAUCCUGAUUCAGACUUUGUUGGAUCUCAAGGUAGUCAGAUCCCACCUCUUUCACACAUGCUGGGCAACAGCAUUAUCAAUAAGCCACCAAUUAUAUUAAAUUUGGACAGACCAGUAGGAAAAGCUCUUUCCUAAUACAAGGUUAGAUUGAUCAGUCUAUGACAGCCAAGCAUGUGCACAGGAUAAUGAACCAGUAUUCAAAAUUUAAAAUUUGGGAAAAGUACAUGAAAUUACAAAGGUAAUUAAAAUAACCAGUUUUUUCUUACCUGCAACAGGAGGAAGGUACACCAAUAACAGUUCAUAACAUUAAAACUCAGUGUGUCAAAACAUCGCUUCGGGUGACCUCGGACUCAGCACAUCGGUUACAUUUGGACUGUAAACAUGGCUGCACUGCUGUUAAUUUGCACAAAGGAAAAACAGUUGCUGUGGUUUGUUUUUAUGGGUGGAGUGUGUGUGUGUGAAAGGAGUUGAAAUGCACAGGUGUUUAUCUGCUCAGUGAGGAAGAUUGGUGUAGUGUGUCUUUUGUUGCAUAACAAUUCCUGUCUUCAUUUUUCUGCUUAUACCAAGAAUAACUAUCAGAAACUGAAACUUGAAGCUUUCAACCACACUGCACCUUGAUUUUCAUGUUUGGGCAGAGGUGGUGGUGUUGAGAGUUCCCUGAUUUUCAGAUGACAAAGUGAAGGAAGCAAUGAAUGGCUGGCUGCUAUCUCAUCCAAAAAAAUGUUUAAGGUACAAAAGAACUUGUGGACUGCUGGAUUAAAGUGUAUUUGGAAGUAGGGAGUCUAUGUAGAAAAAUGAUUAACUGUAAAUGUUCAAAACAAAUAAAUUGUAGAAGAAAAUAAUU